rnacentral:rRNA from 1 species
GACGAACCGAGCGAACGUUGUUCGGAAUCACUGGGCUUAAAGGGCGCGUAGGCGGGCUGUCAAGUCUGGGGUGAAAUCCCGCGGCUCAACCGUGGAACUGCCUCAGAUACUGACGGCCUCGAGGGAGAUAGGGGCGAGCGGAACUAAUGGUGGAGCGGUGAAAUGCGUUGAUAUCAUUAGGAACUCCGGUGGCGAAGGCGGCUCGCUGGAUCUCUUCUGACGCUGAGGCGCGAAAGCUAGGGGAGCAAACGGGG